ACAUUCAAUAUCUAUCCUUAAUCCUACACCACUUCCAUCCGUCGAUUCGAUCCCAAAUCUAAAAACCAGGAACAGUCGCCCACACCACAAUUCCCUGCAAGGCUGCAACUCUCACCGCCAAGCCGCCUUCGUCGCGCCGGCCACCACCGAGAUAUGUCACCUCUCUUUUCCUUCACCAUGAUUCCCCCGCCAGCCCUCCGAUCUGCCGACUCCCCAAAAUUGAUUUGGGGAAAAUCAGAAAUCGCCGGCCGCCGCCACCUGCCACCUCCAUCUAAUUCCCUCCAUUUCGCUUCUCCACACAGGAUUUUUCCCCCACCCCCGCCGCGAUUCUAUGAUAUUUGGCGUCUCCAGACCAGACUCCCCUUCCUCCCGCUGUAUUUUGCCGCAGUCCGGCCUCAAGUCAGCACUGCCGCCCCUCUAACCUUUCUGCCGCGUCUCGACGUCAGACUCCCCCCUCCUCCGCCCGCGAUUCGUAGCACUCCGGCCCCAAGUCGGCGCUGCCCCAACCACCAUUCUCUAACCCGACCAUGGGACGGGUCAUAUCCAGCGCUAAUGGCUGCCCGGCCGCAUCUAAGCGCCGUCGACCACCGUAUUCCCCCUUCCUCUAACAUGGAAUUGUGAUUGUGCAAGCGAAGAAUUUCACUUUCGAAAUCUCUUUUUCCAAAAUUGCCAAAAUCAGUAUUUCAGUGAUCGAAAGAGCGAAUGAACACGACAAUGGUUAAAAUUGCCCUGAUUGGCAUCCAUGCUGGGAGCACGGGUCUUAAUUUAACGUCAGCUGACACUGUUGUGUUUUUGGAGUUACCCACGAACCUUGCUGAUAUUCAACAGCAUGAAGAAUAUUAUUGUAUAUUAGAAAGAAUGUGCAGAAACUCGGCCUACAUGGGAUAGUGUCAUUAAAAUAAAUCUGAAACAAGCAUGGUUGGUUUCAAAGUACGUUUGUGCACAUGCGUGAUGGUCGACAUGGUGGAUCCGUGAUCAAAAUAAUUUAGGCCACUUCGAAAGCUGCUGUUAACUCCAUGACAAAUGUAAUCUUUUAUCGCAGUUUCCAUCUCCGUUUUGAGAAACGGAAGUAGUGAAUACUAAAAACAGAGUUUGAGACUAUGUUUCCCUUUAAGAACAGAUGUUGCUCACAUCAACUAUGUUUCUUGCUAUUCAUUUGUUCUAGAUGUGUAAAAGAACUUUUCUCCAAGUGAAAAUUGUGAAAUAGUUUUGUCUCCGGAGAA